GGUUGCGAUCAUACCAGCACUAAUGCACCGGAUCCCAUCAGAACUCCGCAGUUAAGCGUGCGUGGGCGAGAGUAGUACUAGGAUGGGUGACCCCCUGGGAAGUCCUCGUGUUGCAACCCC
rnacentral:rRNA from 1 species